GGGUUCCUGAUGUGCUUCUCAUGCCCCGCAGACCAUUGACCUGUACGUGGUUUUCGACGUGGCCACUGCCCUACUUCAGGAUGACAGUGGAAGCCAUGUUGUUGUUUUGUUUGUUCCCAGCCCUGACUAUGGUCGUCGAGCGAGUCUGGCAUGUUGUUCAUCUAGUAGAGCUUGUUAGGAGUCUGAAUCUAAGAACUUGUAGAGCUUGUUAGUAUUACAAUUGUAGAGCUUGUUACACUUGUAGAGCUUGUAAAGCAGUAUGGUCUUCUGUAUUGGAAUGGAUAGAGCUUGUA